CCUACGGGAGGCAGCAGUGGGGAAUUUUGCGCAAUGGGCGAAAGCCUGACGCAGCAACGCCGCGUGCGGGAUGAAGGCUCUCGGGUUGUAAACCGCUUUCAGCAGGGAUGAGACUGACAGUACCUGCAGAAGAAGCCCCGGCUAACUACGUGC
rnacentral:rRNA from 1 species